CCUACGGGUGGCAGCAGUGAGGAAUAUUGGUCAAUGGACGAGAGUCUGAACCAGCCAAGUAGCGUGAAGGAUGACUGCCCUAUGGGUUGUAAACUUCUUUUAUAUGGGAAUAAAAUGUUCCACGUGUGGGAUUUUGUAUGUACCAUAUGAAUAAGGAUCGGCUAACUCCGUGCCAGCAGCCGCGGUAAUACGGAGGAUCCGAGCGUUAUCCGGAUUUAUUGGGUUUAAAGGGAGCGUAGGUGGAUUGUUAAGUCAGUUGUGAAAGUUUGCGGCUCAACCGUAAAAUUGCAGUUGAAACUGGCAGUCUUGAGUACAGUAGAGGUGGGCAGAAUUCGUGGUGUAGCGGUGAAAUGCUUAGAUAUCACGAAGAACUCCGAUUGCGAAGGCAGUUCACUGGACUGCAACUGACACUGAGGCGCGAAAGUGUGGGUAUCAAACAGGAUUAGAUACCCUAGUAGUC
rnacentral:rRNA from 1 species